rnacentral:rRNA from 1 species
UACGUAGGGUGCGAGCGUUAAUCGGAAUUACUGGGCGUAAAGCGUGUGCAGGCGGUUUUGUAAGCCAGAUGUGAAAGCCCCGGGCUUAACCUGGGAAUGGCAUUUGGGACUGCAAGGCUUGAGUGCGGCAGAGGAGACUGGAAUUCCUGGUGUAGCAGUGAAAUGCGUAGAUAUCAGGAGGAAUACCGAUGGCGAAGGCAGGUCUCUGGGCUGACACUGACGCUCAUGCACGAAAGCGUGGGGAGCAAACAGG